CGAUUCAGCGGCGGACGGGUGAGUAAUACCUAGGAAUCUGCCUGGUAGUGGGGGACAACGUUUCGAAAGGAACGCUAAUACCGCAUACGUCCUACGGGAGAAAGCAGGGGACCUUCGGGCCUUGCGCUAUCAGAUGAGCCUAGGUCGGAUUAGCUAGUUGGUGAGGUAAUGGCUCACCAAGGCGACGAUCCGUAACUGGUCUGAGAGGAUGAUCAGUCACACUGGAACUGAGACACGGUCCAGACUCCUACGGGAGGCAGCAGUGGGGAAUAUUGGACAAUGGGCGAAAGCCUGAUCCAGCCAUGCCGCGUGUGUGAAGAAGGUCUUCGGAUUGUAAAGCACUUUAAGUUGGGAGGAAGGGUACUUACCUAAUACGUGAGUAUUUUGACGUUACCGACAGAAUAAGCACCGGCUAACUCUGUGCCAGCAGCCGCGGUAAUACAGAGGGUGCAAGCGUUAAUCGGAAUUACUGGGCGUAAAGCGCGCGUAGGUGGUUUGUUAAGUUGAAUGUGAAAUCCCCGGGCUCAACCUGGGAACUGCAUCCAAAACUGGCAAGCUAGAGUAGGGCAGAGGGUGGUGGAAUUUCCUGUGUAGCGGUGAAAUGCGUAGAUAUAGGAAGGAACACCAGUGGCGAAGGCGACCACCUGGGCUCAUACUGAC
rnacentral:rRNA from 1 species